rnacentral:lncRNA from 1 species
CCUUUGCCCAGCACACCUGUCACUCACCUCAACCCUUUCUCUCUUUUCCCCAUCUUUCUGUGGCUAGCUCCUCCUCAUUCUUUAGGUCUCAGUGUAGAUAGCACCACUAUCAGGAAGGAGUCCAGACACUGCCAGGCCUAAGAAAUGUAAAUUAAAUGCUCUCAAGGGAUGAGAGACACUGGAAGCUGGGACGCUCUUGGAACUCUGUUGCCAUCAUCAAGGUCAGCAGUCCAACUACCAGGGCCAGAGCCCCAUCAAAGAAUCUUCAGUGCCAGCCAGAAAGAAUGAUGAACUCCUCGUGUAAAGGGAGUUUGGGGCAACCAGUCAAACCAUGGCCUCAUGGGAAGCAGCUGACUAGGCAAUGAGAGAGGAAUACAAAAGACAAGGCACUGCGAAGCCAAGUCUGGUUGGGGAGAAGAAACCAAUAUGCCUGAAACAGGGAACCAGAAAGGACUCAGACAAAACUGCUGACAAGUAUGGGGUUUCUUGGGGUAGGUGGUGAAAAUAUUCCAAAAUAAGAUUAUAGCGAUGUUUUAAUAAUCCCCUGGAUAUAAUAAAAAAACAUCGAAUUGUACACU